rnacentral:lncRNA from 1 species
UAGGGUUUUCUAUGAAGAUGAAGGCGCUGAAAGGACUGCACCUCAUCAUCACCAUCCAUGCAUUCAUUAGAAUUACUGCCAUUUCCUCUAUGCUUUCCCAAUAAUGGGAGCAGUAAAAUCCAAAGUAACAGGCGGUCGUCCAUCGUCAUCGAUGUUGUCGAUAUUAGCUGCAGCAACACUAUUGAUGGUUGCAUUACUGGUUACCAUGACCAAUUUCAGGAGAUCUUACUAUUGUU